GCGCCCGUAGCUCAGCUGGAUAGAGCAGCGGCCUUCGAAGCCGACGGUCGGGAGUUCGAAUCUCUCCGGGCGCGCCA
rnacentral:tRNA from 1 species